rnacentral:rRNA from 14 species
UUGAGAGUUUGAUCCUGGCUCAGAACGAACGCUGGCGGCAGGCUUAACACAUGCAAGUCGAACGCCCCGCAAGGGGAGUGGCAGACGGGUGAGUAACGCGUGGGAAUCUACCCUUUUCUACGGGAUAGCUCCGGGAAACUGGAAUUAAUACCGUAUAAGCCCUUCGGGGGAAAGAUUUAUCGGGAAAGGAUGAGCCCGCGUUGGAUUAGCUAGUUGGUGAGGUAACGGCCCACCAAGGCGACGAUCCAUAGCUGGUCUAAGAGGAUGAUCAGCCACACUGGGACUGAGACACGGCCCAAACUCCUACGGGAGGCAGCAGUGGGGAAUCUUGGACAAUGGGCGCAAGCCUGAUCCAGCCAUGCCGCGUGAGUGAUGAAGGCCCUAGGGUUGUAAAGCUCUUUCAGUGGGGACGAUAAUGACGGUACCCACAGAAGAAGCCCCGGCUAACUUCGUGCCAGCAGCCGCGGUAAUACGAAGGGGGCUAGCG